UUACUUGUAAUUAUAUAUGUUAUAAGCAAUCAACAACUGUAUUAUACAUGUAAUGCAAAUUUUAAUCCAAACGUUGUGUUAUAACAUAUUGUGUAUAUAGUACAAUAUUGUAUAUACAUCAUUGACAGAUAUCAAAUCAUUAAUCACCUUCCAGUAGGGCACAUUAAAUUACACGGCAAUACUUAUUUCAUUUUCUUCAAUUUAUAUAUUUUUCAUGUACAAAGUUUACGGGCGCUUACUCUACCAGUAAAACUGCACUGUUUGGAAUGACGAAGGCUGUAGCCUGUGAACUAGCCCGGAUGAACAUACGUGUAAACUGUAUAGCUCCAGGGCUUAUCAAAACCAAGUUCAGCGAAAUUUUGGCGGAACAUGAAGGCGAAGAGAUAAUAAAAGUGAUGCCUCUGAAGAGGUUUGGGGAGCCAUCCGAAUGUGCGGGAAUUGUUUCUUUCCUUCUAUCAGCAGAUGCCUCGUACAUCACUGGUGAAACAGUUGCUGUUACGGGAGGACUUUCCUCAAGAUUGUGAUCGAAAAACAACAAUGAAGGCUGGCAAGAGAUAGCAUAUAAAUAUAUGACAGGAAAUAUUUUAUGUUCAAUAUUGGGCGCCAGUAAUUCAGUGUAUACAAUAGCUGAAAUUAUCAAUUAGGUUCUUCGACUAGAAAUGAGCAUCUCGAAUUUACUCGGGCAAAAUGAAUUAUUCAACUUUAAAUAUUAAUGUGGAAUUAUAUUAACUAAUAGUUGAGUAAAAUAUAUGAAUUAACUAUGUUUAGCUACUAUGGUUGUAUGUAUAUAUUUAUAUGUAUAAUAUAUAUCUUUAUAACAGUUUGCAUUUAUGAGUGUGUAUGUGUUUUGUAAUUUGUUAAAAUAACGAUUCAAGUAAUUGAAUAUCUGUUCUAUUCAGAUCAGUUUGCUAGCUCUACAUGCAAAGGCCAAAACAGCAGAGGCCUAAUUCAGCAAAAAUACUGAAAAAAGUAAUCAGCUGAGGUGGGUAGUUCUGUUAUGCAAAAUAUGUAAGGGAAGUUUGUGUCUAAGGUAUUGUGCAUUGUUGGACUCCUUCUUCUUCCCUAACAUUUUGCCACCAGGCCAUAUGUAGUAAUAUUUUGGAAAAUCGGCCCAUAUUUUCGCAGACCUAGGUUUCACUCUUAGCUAUAUCUGGAUUACAGAGAAAUAAAUCGCAGAUAUUGUAUAUGGAUUUUUAGAAACUAUACAAAUACAUGAUUACUAUUAUGUUUAUUUUCUUACAAAUCUCUGAGUUUAGGUGUUUUCUUCUAAAUCUAAGGAAGACUGUCUCUGACCGGCUUGUAAAAUGUCCAGAUACUGUUAAAGAUCCCUCCCCCUCUUUAUGUCAAUAGACGUAAAUUGACUGAUAACGGCUAACGAUACACUCGGUAAGCUGUUUUCAAGGGAGACAAUUUCGCCAAUAAGCCAGCAAAUUCGCUUAGAUUUCUGGGUAUGUAUCUAAAGAUACUAUAUUGUGGAUAAGUUAUGACAUCAAAGGCUUAAAGCGACAUAGGAUGACUGUUUCAAAACUACAUUUACGUCUAGUGUAAAAUAAUGUAUACACAUGUAGCGUAAUAAAGGCUUUUGUAAUAAACUUAAUUUUCAUCAUAGUGUAUUACAUUUUGUAUAGAGUAAUAAAUUUAAAACUUAUUUAUAAAUUCCGUCAAAUUUCAUAUCGGAUGCGUGGCGUCAAUUGUGACGCUACCGCCUGGUAUAAACUUACCCCACUGCUGCGUUUACUCAUUGCGUAUUCAUUACGUUGUUUUUGCCGAGAAAUAUGCAUGAGUUCUGCAGCGGAAAUAUUACGCGACUUUUGGCUGUUAUAUUUCAAUCUUCCCAGAUCGUUCAGCACGACAUUUAUGUCGUGUUAUUAGUACUGUCUAGUUUCUCAGCUUGAACAUUUCGGUCUGGAUGGUUCCAAUAUUCCCUCUUUCAUAGCUUUGGGUGUUGUAUAAUUAUCCCAUUUUCCAUUAAAAUCUAAUGGAGAUUUUUUAAUGAGAAUGUUAUAAGUGUUAAUAGGAACGUUUGUGUUACAGACUUGAUUUUGAAAAGCGGCCCUCUUCGUUUGUUCAAUUUAUUUUAUAAUAAAAUUCCCUCAUGUAUAUAUUUAAUUGAAUCUCUGAAAGCAGAAAAAUAAAACACUCCAUUUCAACAGGCGAAUCUUAUCAUUAGGUAAAAACAUGUCAUUUUUCUAGACAAAAAAAACUAGAGCUUACAUUAAACAAACACCUAGCACAAUAUGCGAAUUUAAAUUUUACCAAAAUAGCUUAUUAAUCUUUCCUACCUUUUUUUUCACUGAAAUACUGCUCAUUUAAUCAUAGUUUAACAUAUUUCUGUAACAAUAGAUUUUAGUUCGUUUGCUUGGAAAAAAGAAGUUUAACGCGUCUGAAAAGACUGAAGUUACAUGUGUUUACAUAAAGAAAACUUCUUUUUCAAAGGCAAUGAAAGAAGCAAACUAGAAAAAAAAUCAUAUGCCUGGUCCAUAAAACUAUAUGUUUAAAACGAAAUGUCUCAACACACAAAUGUCUUGACUAACUUACACACACACUGAGUUAGCUAUUCUCUUUGCAGAAUAAUUCGCCAUCAUUUGCGCAGUAAUGGAACUCUUCCGCAAGACGUAUUACCAUUUCCGGUCCUAGCGUGUAUAAACAAAGGAGUGUGACGACCUACCAUUUUGCACCAUGUAUGCGCGGAGAAACAGUUCUAUCAUAUUUGAUCUAAAAUUUACAAAAAGCAUAUAUUAGAUCGAAAUAAUUUAUAGCAAAACCAUGUUUUAAUACAUGCACUAUUUAUACACUCCAGCGGUUAUACGUCGUGCGAAGUAAUUUCACUCCGGCUGCGCCCUCGUGAAAUGAUUACGUCCGACGUAUAGCCGCCCAUUGUGUAUAGAUAGUGUUAAAACAACGUUUGUCUAUAAAUUAUUCCUUAAAUGAAUUAAUCAUAAAAUCAUACACUUGUUAUGUUUGUAUACGUAUCAAACUGAAGACAGCAAGAGAGUUUGAGAUUUCUCUACUUUAAUUACUGACACGGAAACAUGGGUCACUGAGUAAACGCCAAUGUCUGUAACCCGAUGUAUGAUACUGCUAAGGAAGGUGGUAUCGUCACUGGUCAUUGAGAUUCAUAGAUGCUACAAGCGGUAUAAGUUGAUAAAACAGCAAGCGUCUAAUACACGGCUAUCGGUAACUUAAACGGCAUUGUAAAAGACUUGGUCUAAAGAGGCGGCCAAACUGGAAUCGUGCUGUCGUUCAAGCAGCUAUUUUGACAUAAGGUACUGCAAUAUCAAAACAUCAUAGAUCCUGAAGGUGUUCAGGCCAGACUGUCGAACAGGCUUUCAAGAAGAGAAUACUUUAACAGAGGUCCGAAUUUUCUAAUUCACAUUGACGGUUACGACAAGAUAAAGAAGUAUGGGUUUGGAAUCCACGGAGCCAUUUGUGGUCUGAUAAAUUACGUGGCAGUAUCCAAUAGGUCAGGUUAAUCAAAGUGUAAAAGUAAACAAAAUGUUGCAUAAAUUACAAAAUAAACAAACACACAAUAGCAACAAAAAUCUAAAGAAACGAGAUCCGCAAUGGACGGACCGUCAGGGGAGGUAACUAGAGUCACGGAUUGGGACUAGUCCGAUAAGAAAACGUUCAACGUCAUGAUAUGGAAAAAUAUUGCACGAUCGAGGUCCACUGAAACCCAAUGGAAAAUAAUUUUAGCUUUUCGAGACGGGUUCUUUGGCUGAAAGUUGCACGUUUCCAAUAAUAAUCCGAAUAUCAUUGCUACCUAUUUUCUAGAGUUCGUAAAAGAAAUAAAGAGGGGUUCCACGGUGUAUCAGGAUGGAUGCGGGUACGGAAAAUGUUGUUGUGGAGGAUAUGCAAAAAGCAUUCAGAUGGUAUCACGGUGACGAUAUGGCUGGUGAACGAAGUGUUAUCGUUGGUAGCUCGCAUACAAACCAGAGGAUAGAGUGUUGGUGGCGGCAGUUACAUCAAAGAUGCAUAGCGGCAUGGAAAGAUAAAUUUUGUCAAAUGGAAGAGCAAGGGAUUUUCUCAACAGCAGACGGUAUUCAUGUAAGUUGCGUCAGAUUCUGUUUUAUGCAACUUAUUCAACAUGAAUUGGACUUAAUACGGGCAGAGUGGAAUACACAUUAUAUAAGGAGGCAGACACGGGAAGGAACACCUUGUGGAAAGCCAGACAUUUUAUAUUUGUAUCCAGAAUUAUAUGGAACUUAUGACUACAAAUUCCCAGUUGAUGAGGCAGGCUGCGAGUGCCUGGGUGGUAACUGCGACGUUCCAUCUAGCACUGAAAUAGACGAAGAACUAGAAGGAAGAUUUCUUCAAAUGAUGGAACUGGAUGGAAUGCGUAUGCCGGAUACAUCAGCUGAAGCCAUCGACUUGCUUACCUGGCUAAUAAGCAAACUUGACUAACUGCUUGAGCAGAAAUGACAUUCCAUUAAAGGCAUUCGUUCUAAAGAUUUACUGAGAGUGGGGCGGUUUCGUCGGUCUUGUCCUUUACUUAAAAGAAAAAAUAAAGAUGUUGAUUUGUUAUAAAGUUUUAUAAAUUCAAUUCAAUUCCUUGUGAUUCAUGAAGUAUAAAGUCUCAACUUCCAUGUUCUUUUUUAUACGACAAUUGGCAUGUUCUCUCUAAGAAAUCGUUGGAAAUAGUGAAAGUUGAAAAGUAUUCUGAGCAAGAUCUGUUGUUGUGAUUUCUGGCUAACUGUUUCUUUGAAGCAAACAGCGAAAUAGGCCCAACAUUAAAGUGACUUUUUGGUGCUACGUAGGAGCCUACAAAGCAAGCCUAGAAAAAAAGCAACAAUUUGUGUAUCAUAGAUCUGUAAUCCCUUCAAAACAACCAAUUAAUAGUUUUGUAAAUGAUAGAUGAAAUCUAUCAACAACUGGAUCGCUCACCUGAGUAAUAUGAGCUACAUGUUUCAAAUGUCAAAAUGAUGAUAAAAUAUUAAGAAAGUCAGUAGGUCACAUUCAUGCUCAAUUAAAUUCAGUUUUACAAUUUGUGUGCAAAACGGAGUAUGUCAUAAACAUUUCAAGGCUGUAUCUUAAAAACAAGACAGAACAUGCUCAAUUAAACCGAGUCUGCAACAUUUUCGUUUUUGUCAUGUUGAGCGACCUAUUCUAUUAGAUCUGUUAUGGUUAAAUUAUCCAAAUACUUAGAAAUUUAUUUGAAUGCAUUUGGUGAACAUGUAUUCUUGUGCUGCGUUUCUACCUUCUUACAAUUAAUAAUACUUAAUUAUUACAGAAAAUUUAGAUUUUUACGAAGAUAUUGAUUCAGUAAUCGAAAAAAUUAUAUUCAAAUGGCAAAUGCUUCCUUUUAAGUGAUUUCAAUAGUCGCGUUUCAAAUGUAGAGGCUAUCUGAUAUUUUAUAGUACGACCAAUAUAUACUCAGUUCCAAAAGAAAGUGUGCACUUUUUAAGAUUAAAUAUUUCAAAAAAUUCCCCGACGUUUAUGUUUCAUUUUUUCAUACACUAACUCUCAGGUAUAACUCAAAAUCUAAAUUGCACACCAAUUUGUUUACGAACUGAUUUACAUUUUGGUACCAAACAUUAUAAGUUUUCAUGAUAAUAACCAAAGAGUUAUAUUUUAUACUUCUUUGAAAUAACCGAGAAAAAAUAACAGAAAACUAAGUGCACACUUUCUUUUGGAACUGAGUGUAUAAAUCACAAACCUGUCAUCCUAUGGUAAUAUACCGACACGAAUUUCUCGUGAUAAAGUCAAUCCAUGUUGUUUAUUUUAGGUAACUCUACAUUACAUAAUCACACCCUAUAAACGACUGUAUUCCCCCUCUUCCUCUUGCGAGUGAUCAAAACAAUAAACAGACACGCAAAAAGUAAGAAUAGUCUUCAAAUUCAGCAUUUGGCUUUACGCUGUAUGUGUAUUUAAGUUAAACGAUAAGUCUAACAUAAAUGUGUGUAUAUGGUGAUAUAAUAGAUGAAACUGACAGGUAAUACUUAUAAAAUGUUGACUGAUCACACUCAUUGCAUGAAAAUUCACUCGACUAAGUCAGGAAACUGAUGAAUAUCACGCCAAAUUGAUUUGUAAUCCAAUUAUUCAUGAUGUUUUUUGUAAUAAGUAUGCAUACUCCAUAAAUAUAUGUAAAUAAAAUGUUUCGUUUC